CCUACGGGUGGCAGCAGUGGGGAAUAUUGCACAAUGGGGGAAACCCUGAUGCAGCGACGCCGCGUGAGUGAAGAAGUAAUUCGUUAUGUAAAGCUCUCUCAGCAGGGAAGAAAAUGACGGUACCUGAGUACGAAGCCCCGGCUAACUACGUGCCAGCAGCCGCGGUAAUACGUAGGGGGCAAGCGUUAUCCGGAUUUACUGGGUGUAAAGGGAGCGUAGACGGUUACGCAAGUCUGGAGUGAAAGGCGGGGGCCCAACCCCCGGACUGCUUUGGAAACUGUAUAACUGGAGUGCAGGAGAGGUAAGUGGAAUUCCUAGUGUAGCGGUGAAAGGCGUAGAUAUUAGGAGGAACACCAGUGGCGAAGGCGGCUUACUGGACUGUAACUGACGUUGAGGCUCGAAAGCGUGGGGAGCAAACAGGAUUAGAUACCCCAGUAGUC
rnacentral:rRNA from 1 species